rnacentral:rRNA from 1 species
UACGGGGGGGGCAAGCGUUGUUCGGAAUUACUGGGCGUAAAGGGCGCGUAGGCGGCCUGCUAAGUCGGACGUGAAAUCCCUCGGCUCAACCGAGGAACUGCGUCCGAUACUGGUGGGCUUGAUCCGGGAGAGGGAUGUGGAAUUCCAGGUGUAGCGGUGAAAUGCGUAGAUAUCUGGAGGAACACCGGUGGCGAAGGCGGUUCGCUGGGCAUUACCUGACGCUGAGGAGCGAAAGUGUGGGGAGCGAACAGG